rnacentral:rRNA from 1 species
GAUGAACGCUGGCGGUGUGCCUAAUACAUGCAAGUCGAGCGGUAACACUUCGGGUGACGAGCGGCGGACGGGUGAGUAAUGCUUAGGAAUCUGCCUAUUAGUGGGGGACAACAUCUCGAAAGGGAUGCUAAUACCGCAUACGUCCUACGGGAGAAAGCAGGGGACCUUCGGGCCUUGCGCUAAUAGAUGAGCCUAAGUCGGAUUAGCUAGUUGGUGGGGUAAAGGCCUACCAAGGCGGCGAUCUGUAGCGGGUCUGAGAGGAUGAUCCGCCACACUGGGACUGAGACACGGCCCAGACUCCUACGGGAGGCAGCAGUGGGGAAUAUUGGACAAUGGGGGGAACCCUGAUCCAGCCAUGCCGCGUGUGUGAAGAAGGCCUUUUGGUUGUAAAGCACUUUAAGCGAGGAGGAGGCUACCGAGAUUAAUACUCUUGGAUAGUGGACGUUACUCGCAGAAUAAGCACCGGCUAACUCUGUGCCAGCCGCCGCAGUAA